UCCUAUGGACUUGAAAGAUCAUCUCCAUACACAGGUAUCGUUUCUCCCGUAAUUAUAUAUUUAAUUAUUUGAAAGUUAGUUCUUCUGUGUAAAAUUCUUGAGCUUUUGAUUACCUGCAAUUUUCAAUUUUCUACGAUAUAGGAUUUUUGGAUAAUUUCAUGAUUUAGCGAUCCUACUAAUGAUAAAUCAAGUAGAAUCAAUAUGAGGAAUAGAUUCUUCAAUUUCGUAGCUUCCAAGCCUAGACAAGAGAUUUUUUGCGUUUGUUUAUGUCUGAUUUGCACCGAUUUUGGUCCUAUCUAUUUCUGAUUUUGUUUUCCGUUUGAGCACCGGUUGUUUUUGCAUCGCUGGGAAGUUAAUUUUCUACAACUGAGGUGUGUUUUCUAACUGCUGUGUUUUGAUUGUUAUUCUGUGUUUUGAUUAAUUUUGGAUGGAAUUGUAACCGUUUGGUUUUGGGUUGGCUCUGUUCCUGUGCUAGAGUUUUCCUGGCUAACAGGAUAUUUUGCGCUUUGGUUCCUUGCUUGGUCAGUCUCAGAUUUACUGACGGUUCCGGCGGUCCUGUUAUUUUUUGGAAAAUCAGGAAUUUGAACAUCAGCUUGUGACUUUGCCGUCGAUUUGAACGCCACCAGCUUCGAUGCAGUCCUUGGAGACACCCCUGCCUCCUCUGCCAUAGUCGAAUUCUUUGCUCACUGGUCAGCUUUUCUAAUUUCUAUGUAAACCAUUGAUUUUAUUUGGGAAAUAAAUGGAACCCCUUAUGUUUUUGCUUAAAGUAUUGAUCUUUGAGUGUUACUCGGUAGAUAUUAGAUCGAUUGGAGGCUACCCAUUUGAAAAAGAAGUGAGAUCACAUGGAUGAUGGAUCAUGUGCAAAACGCCAUAGAGUAUUUAAACGUCAUCGGGGCCUUGGAUGAGAAUGAGAAUCUGACUGUUUUAGAUAUUUCAGAAUUUCAAAAAGCAGGUGCGGUUUGAUCAAUUAAGGCCAACCUGAUUUACAGGGGUCUGAUUAGUGGUACACUACUAAUUACCUCACUUUUCUCCCAAGAGUAUGCUGCUUUUUCCAAAAGGAAAAUAUUAGCUUGGUUUGAUCUCUUAUUGAAUUGUGUAGAUUUGGUUUGAUCUCUUAAUUUGUGUUGUGCAAAUUUUGUAUGAAUUAAUUUGGGUUGGGCAGAGGAAGCAAAUAAUUUUUUAAAUUAAUAAAUUUAGUUUGGUUUAUACA